rnacentral:rRNA from 1 species
UGGGGAAUUUUGGACAAUGGGCGAAAGCCUGAUCCAGCAAUGCCGCGUGUGUGAAGAAGGCCUUCGGGUUGUAAAGCACUUUUGUCCGGAAAGAAAUCCUCUGGGUUAAUACCUCGGGGGGAUGACGGUACCGGAAGAAUAAGCACCGGCUAACUACGUGCCAGCAGCCGCGGUAAUACGUAGGGUGCAAGCGUUAAUCGGAAUUACUGGGCGUAAAGCGUGCGCAGGCGGUUUGCUAAGACCGAUGUGAAAUCCCCGGGCUCAACCUGGGAACUGCAUUGGUGACUGGCAGGCUAGAGUAUGGCAGAGGGGGGUAGAAUUCCACGUGUAGCAGUGAAAUGCGUAGAGAUGUGGAGGAAUACCGAUGGCGAAGGCAGCCCCCUGGGCCAAUACUGACGCUCAUGCACGAAAGCGUGGGGAGCAAACAGGAUUAGAUACCCUGGUAGUCCACGCCCUAAACGAUGUCAACUAGUUGUCGGGUCUUCAUUGACUUGGUAACGUGCUAACGCGUGAAGUUGACCGCCUGGGGAGUACGGUCGCAAGAUUAAAACUCAAA